GCUCUCGCCGCGGCGCGGGGCCUGCCGGGACUUGUAGUCCGAGAGCCCAGGAUCCAGUGUGGACGGCUGGGUGAACUUUAGAGGGGCUGGCGCGUGCUCCCGAACCUGGAAGACGCCUUUCCCCUCCUCCUACGAGCGAGCGACAUGCAUAUUCAGGGAGCCUCCUGACAGCUGUUUCCCCGCUGGGUGCCUCCCUGCCUGAUGCUGACGACCUCUCCUCAGCACCACCUACUUGACUUCUUUACGUGUGCACUGCGUGGCUUGACUUCCCAGCUUGAGAAGGUCCUCCCUGAAGGUGAGCUGGGCCCUAAAUCCCAUCACACAAGUGUCCUGAGGAGAUGGAGGCAAAGGGAGAUUUGGUAAACACAGAAGAGAAGGCCAUGUGGCUGUACGUCCAGGAGUUUCAAUACCCACCAGAAGCUGCCAGAGAAUGGACUACCUCAGAAUCCCGACUUCAAGCCUCUGUAAAGAGCAUCUCUUCUGCCUGAACUGUCUUUGCCCCUAAGCCUCUUCUGUGCUUGUGUGAAGCCCACACAUCCUUGACCACCUUCAGGUAGCAUGUCUCUGGAAAGCCUUCCAGGCCACUCCCUGGUGAAGUGCUAAAUGUCUGCCUUUCCCCAAAGGACAAGGGAAUGAGAAGAGACCCCUUUCCUGGUACUGGCACAGAGCCCAGCUCAUACCAGCCUUGGUUAACACUUGGCAAAUGAUACUCAAGCUGCUUCUUCCAGCUUCAGCCUACUCUGAGAUGAGCACCAUUUGACCGGAAAGUGUAUUCCCUGAGCCACUUUAUGUAGUGAAUUGUAGAGCACCCCGUGCAGGAAUAAAGUCUUGUAUACAAGCCUCGGGAUUCCUGAAGACUAAUGGAUUGGAUGCCCUGGUCACCAACUAGAAGUCCAUGAGAGUCCAGAGCUCUCUCCUGAGAUCAAGUGUUGAUCCAAGGCCUCCUUCCCCCAUAUCACCCCUCAGCUACAGAGGUCCUCUAAACUUCCUGACCUUGAGCUUAUCAUUUCUGCCUAACAAGCAGUGUCUAGCACAGGAGCCAGAUCACCAAGCUUUUUAAAUUUUGAGAAUACGUUUAUUAAAGCUAGAGACAGUGAAAUGAGGAAGAGCUUAGGUUAUAAGAAGCAACAGGAAAGCCUGGGCAGGGCUACAUUGGCUCUCAAAAAUGUUACAGGAAAGAAGUGAGCCAUGCGGGGGUGCUCUGGUUCAUGGAAAAUCAGAGAAAAGGGCCUUGGAAACAGGUUCAGGAGAUACACGAGAGGGAAGAAAGGCAUGGGCAUGCUCUCAAGCCUUUCUUAAACACCCUCCCCAAACCUACCAAGCUGGAUAUAAUUUUUUUUUUUAACCCUCACCCAAGGAUAUGUUUUUA